rnacentral:rRNA from 1 species
CUACGGACCAAAGAGGGGGACCUUCGGGCCUCUUGCCAUCGGAUGUGCCCAGAUGGGAUUAGCUAGUAGGUGGGGUAACGGCUCACCUAGGCGACGAUCCCUAGCUGGUCUGAGAGGAUGACCAGCCACACUGGAACUGAGACACGGUCCAGACUCCUACGGGAGGCAGCAGUGGGGAAUAUUGCACAAUGGACGCAAGCCUGAUGCAGCCAUGCCGCGUGUGUGAAGAGGGCCUUCGGGUUGUAAAGCACUUUCAGCGAGGAGGAAAGCCAAUAGCUUAAUACGNUGUUGGAUUGACGUUACUCGCAGAAGAAGCACCGGCUAACUCCGUGCCAGCAGCCGCGGUAAUACGGAGGGUGCAAGCGUUAAUCGGAAUUACUGGGCGUAAAGCGCACGCAGGCGGUUUGUUAAGUCAGAUGUGAAAUCCCCGCGCUUAACGUGGGAACUGCAUUUGAAACUGGCAAGCUAGAGUCUCGUAGAGGGGGGUAGAAUUCCAGGUGUAGCGGUGAAAUGCGUAGAGAUCUGGAGGAAUACCGGUGGCGAAGGCGGCCCCCUGGACGAAGACUGACGCUCAGGUGCGAAAGCGUGGGGAGCAAACAGGAUUAGGUACCCUGGUAGUCCACGCUGUAAACGAUGUCGAUUUGGAGGUUGUGCCCUUGAGGCGUGGCUUCCGGAGCUAACGCGUUAAAUCGACCGCCUGGGGAGUACGGCCGCAAGGUUAAAACUCAAAUGAAUUGACGGGGGCCCGCACAAGCGGUGGAGCAUGUGGUUUAAUUCGAUGCAACGCGAAGAA